GCUGAUUGGGCGAAGCCACGCCUGGUGCCCGCCUACCAAAGCAGCAGACAUCAUGAGAAACCACAAGAAGGCUACACGUGCGUCCUCCAUGUUUAUGUGGGUUCGGCUCUAGGCUCAUCAGCUCUUGCUUUCGUCGCACCGGUACGUCCCGCCUUAAACCACAAUACUGCAACGUGAUUGGCCCAAACCGUUUUUGGGUCGGACACAAACAGUUGAAACUGGAGUGGUACAAGAUAGAUUCCCAUGUGUUUGUGAAUGUACAAAUACCGCAAGAAUUCAUCUUGCAGGCAAAGUUGUGUCCUCGUUGCUUGUGCACUUUUUACUACAACAGUUUUUUUUCUUCCACUCAACUUUCUGUUGAUAUGCGUGGAUACAGUGUUGUGUGAACAGCAGGCUUUCCCAGCAGUGGCCAUUUGUGGCUGAUGCACCAUAUGGAGCUGGACAAUGGCUGCUGGAAAACUUAGCCAACACUGUGUAGGUUAA